rnacentral:rRNA from 1 species
UGAAGAGUUUGAUCAUGGCUCAGAUUGAACGCUGGCGGCAGGCCUAACACAUGCAAGUCGAACGGUAACAGGAAGCAGCUUGCUGCUUUGCUGACGAGUGGCGGACGGGUGAGUAAUGUCUGGGAAACUGCCUGAUGGAGGGGGAUAACUACUGGAAACGGUGGCUAAUACCGCAUAACGUCGCAAGACCAAAGAGGGGGACCUUCGGGCCUCUUGCCAUCAGAUGUGCCCAGAUGGGAUUAGCUUGUUGGUGAGGUAACGGCUCACCAAGGCGACGAUCCCUAGCUGGUCUGAGAGGAUGACCAGCCACACUGGAACUGAGACACGGUCCAGACUCCUACGGGAGGCAGCAGUGGGGAAUAUUGCACAAUGGGCGCAAGCCUGAUGCAGCCAUGCCGCGUGUAUGAAGAAGGCCUUCGGGUUGUAAAGUACUUUCAGCGGGGAGGAAGGUGUUGUGGUUAAUAACCGCAGCAAUUGACGUUACCCGCAGAAGAAGCACCGGCUAACUCCGUGCCAGCAGCCGCGGUAAUACGGAGGGUGCAAGCGUUAAUCGGAAUUACUGGGCGUAAAGCGCACGCAGGCGGUCUGUCAAGUCGGAUGUGAAAUCCCCGGGCUCAACCUGGGAACUGCAUUCGAAACUGGCAGGCUUGAGUCUUGUAGAGGGGGGUAGAAUUCCAGGUGUAGCGGUGAAAUGCGUAGAGAUCUGGAGGAAUACCGGUGGCGAAGGCGGCCCCCUGGACAAAGACUGACGCUCAGGUGCGAAAGCGUGGGGAGCAAACAGGAUUAGAUACCCUGGUAGUCCACGCCGUAAACGAUGUCUACUUGGAGGUUGUGCCCUUGAGGCGUGGCUUCCGGAGCUAACGCGUUAAGUAGACCGCCUGGGGAGUACGGCCGCAAGGUUAAAACUCAAAUGAAUUGACGGGGGCCCGCACAAGCGGUGGAGCAUGUGGUUUAAUUCGAUGCAACGCGAAGAACCUUACCUGGUCUUGACAUCCACAGAACUUUCCAGAGAUGGAUUGGUGCCUUCGGGAACUGUGAGACAGGUGCUGCAUGGCUGUCGUCAGCUCGUGUUGUGAAAUGUUGGGUUAAGUCCCGCAACGAGCGCAACCCUUAUCCUUUGUUGCCAGCGGUCCGGCCGGGAACUCAAAGGAGACUGCCAGUGAUAAACUGGAGGAAGGUGGGGAUGACGUCAAGUCAUCAUGGCCCUUACGACCAGGGCUACACACGUGCUACAAUGGCGCAUACAAAGAGAAGCGACCUCGCGAGAGCAAGCGGACCUCAUAAAGUGCGUCGUAGUCCGGAUUGGAGUCUGCAACUCGACUCCAUGAAGUCGGAAUCGCUAGUAAUCGUGGAUCAGAAUGCCACGGUGAAUACGUUCCCGGGCCUUGUACACACCGCCCGUCACACCAUGGGAGUGGGUUGCAAAAGAAGUAGGUAGCUUAACCUUCGGGAGGGCGCUUACCACUUUGUGAUUCAUGACUGGGGUGAAGUCGUAACAAGGUAACCGUAGGGGAACCU